rnacentral:tRNA from 1 species
ACCUGGGUGGCUCAGUCGGUUGAGUGUCUGACUUCAGCUCAGGUCAUGAUCUCGCAGUUCGUGAGUUUGAACCCCACAUCAGGCU